rnacentral:rRNA from 1 species
UGGGGGCUGCUAUACAUGCAGUCGAGCGGACAGAAGGGAGCUUGCUCCCGGAUGUUAGCGGCGGACGGGUGAGUAACACGUGGGUAACCUGCCUGUAAGACUGGGAUAACUCCGGGAAACCGGAGCUAAUACCGGAUAGUUCCUUGAACCGCAUGGUUCAAGGAUGAAAGACGGUUUCGGCUGUCACUUACAGAUGGACCCGCGGCGCAUUAGCUAGUUGGUGGGGUAAUGGCUCACCAAGGCGACGAUGCGUAGCCGACCUGAGAGGGUGAUCGGCCACACUGGGACUGAGACACGGCCCAGACUCCUACGGGAGGCAGCAGUAGGGAAUCUUCCGCAAUGGACGAAAGUCUGACGGAGCAACGCCGCGUGAGUGAUGAAGGUUUUCGGAUCGUAAAGCUCUGUUGUUAGGGAAGAACAAGUGCGAGAGUAACUGCUCGCACCUUGACGGUACCUAACCAGAAAGCCACGGCUAACUACGUGCCAGCAGCCGCGGUAAUACGUAGGUGGCAAGCGUUGUCCGGAAUUAUUGGGCGUAAAGGGCUCGCAGGCGGUUUCUUAAGUCUGAUGUGAAAGCCCCCGGCUCAACCGGGGAGGGUCAUUGGAAACUGGGAAACUUGAGUGCAGAAGAGGAGAGUGGAAUUCCACGUGUAGCGGUGAAAUGCGUAGAGAUGUGGAGGAACACCAGUGGCGAAGGCGACUCUCUGGUCUGUAACUGACGCUGAGGAGCGAAAGCGUGGGGAGCGAACAGGAUUAGAUACCCUGGUAGUCCACGCCGUAAACGAUGAGUGCUAAGUGUUAGGGGGUUUCCGCCCCUUAGUGCUGCAGCUAACGCAUUAAGCACUCCGCCUGGGGAGUACGGUCGCAAGACUGAAACUCAAAGGAAUUGACGGGGGCCCGCACAAGCGGUGGAGCAUGUGGUUUAAUUCGAAGCAACGCGAAGAACCUUACCAGGUCUUGACAUCCUCUGACAACCCUAGAGAUAGGGCUUUCCCUUCGGGGACAGAGUGACAGGUGGUGCAUGGUUGUCGUCAGCUCGUGUCGUGAGAUGUUGGGUUAAGUCCCGCAACGAGCGCAACCCUUGAUCUUAGUUGCCAGCAUUCAGUUGGGCACUCUAAGG